rnacentral:lncRNA from 1 species
CUGCAAGUGAACUGUUUGGUACAAGAGCCAUUCUAGACAAAUAUCGAUAUUGGGGGCAGCCUGUCACAUUGUGGUACCAGGACUUGAGCUGGUUGAAAAAGCCCAAAGAAACAGAAAAGACCAAGAAAGGGUUUCUGCACUUGAGAAGUUCAAAAGCCUGUAUUUCAUUUUACUCACAUAACCACAGAAGUCUCCCCCAUCACACCCAACGGCUGCAGCUCGGCCUCUGCCAAGCCACAACCAAAGGAAAAGCCAGAAGGAAAACACUUUCUGACACAGGAGAGCCAGGAACAUCAAUACAGAGACCAACCUUGCAACCUCACGGAACCACAGCGUGCGGGAGCGGGAAGGGGCCUUAGAAGUCAUUGCCCAUCCCUUCAUCCUACAGAACAAGAAACUGAGGCCCACACGGACAAGUGAUUGCUCAACCCCUCCAUGCCCGUGAGUGGCACAGGCGGCUGGAAUUGGGCCCAGGUGCCUUGUCUCCGGUUCUCUUUCCAUCACACCAGGAGCACUUGGGAAAUUUGUGCAAGGACCUCCUCGAGGCCAGUGGGCAAAAGCCAUUUCACAAAUUUGCGCAAUAGAAACUGUAUUCUUCUUCAGCAAAUGUAACAUUAGCCGGUGGUAACCACUGCUGUGGAGAGGUGAUCCUGAGGAUCCAGUUUGGCUGCUGGUCUCCAGAUUACAGAUCAACCAGAACGUUACACAGAAAGUGAGAAUUAGCCGGAGCCCGUCUCAAAAACACGACCGGAAUUGAACAUCAGCAGGCCACUGCAGUCUACCUUUGGUGCUGGCGAGAAGACUGGCCCCACCAGCUCAGUGGAUGCCUCCACAACUGGCUGAUGGUUUGGUUGUCCCAAGUCAUCAUUUUUUUUCUUCAAAUACACAAAGCCCAACUUGAGGACCAAGACAAAACAACAUAAAUGUCCUUUAAAGCAAAAGUCCCAACCCAGCAACCCAGAACCUAGCAGACCCCAAGGAGCUCAGAUCCAAAAUGACCUCGUAACGACAGUGGAAAAACCCACACGAGAAAACCUUUCGUGAGGAGGGUGCUUCAUAAAAUCCAGCUGAAUAAAACCUCAUUUCUCUAAACCGCCUUUCUCUGCUACCUCCAGAAGCCAGCCGCCUCAGGAUCUCAACGUGCCCCUGCAUGGUGACCAUCACCUCCCGUCCUGCUAUGUCUAAACUGCCAACCUCAGCUUCACGCUCAUUCCCUCCAUGAAAGUGCAUGAUUUCUACAUCGAGGCUCCUGGAAUCGCCCCCCUCCUCUUUUUCUCUUUUUUUCAGUCCUCCUUUUCCUUCUUUGGGUCCUGAGCACCCUGCCAUUCUUCCAAAAUGGAGAAAAGCAGGGGGGGGAAAGAGGAGAAGCAAACGAAACUUCCCCACGGCUCUGUGAGUGACUGCUAGGUUUCCAUGGCUCGCUUUCCACUGUUCCCGGUGACCCCUGCAGACUCCCCUUAUGAGUGAGUGUCCCGGAAUGUCUCUUUAUUAGGUGUCUGGAGAAGUAAAGCUGUCCUGAUGCCAGCGCCCCCACACUGAGGACUUUAUUAGUUUUUUAAUUUUCUGUCCGGGUGCUCCUGCUGCAUCAAACUUUCCACAGCUGUUAGGAGCUAUUAAGUAAGUAGCCUCAUUGGCCCUUUCCCCUCCCCCACCCCCUUCUUAAUAACACAAGAAACUUCUGGCCCUGCUACAUGGAGCCUUUAAAAUAAAGAUACUUUGUCUCUCUGAUGAGAAA